UUUUGAUUUGGAUCGACUUGGUUGCUUCUAAACUAGAGGAAAGCGGUAUCAACUACAAAAGUUAGUGACAAUAACUUUUUUUUUUUGAAGAUUUGAAUAAUUUAAUUUUGUGUAAUUAUGGUUUUCUUUCUUUUGGAUUUUUGGACAAGUUAAAGAGUAAACUCAAUUUGGUGAUACAGUUAUGCCUGAGUUCAAAAUUGAUAAAAUCACAAGAUUUGAGUUCUUCCCACUAUAUUUUUUCUUAGUUAUCAAGAUGCAGCAUAGGUGGCAAUUCGUUCAAAAUUUAGAAGCUGAUUUGGUUCUUAUUUCUAAAAUAGUUUUCUUUCUAUUUUCUUUGGCAAAUUUUAAAUCAAAUGCAGCAACAUUUUGCCACUGCGAUUGUCAAUCCCUCCUGUUCAACAAUUUCUUUAGCUUCUUUCUUAAUCGUAUAGUAGAUAAGACAUCAGGAAGCCUGAACUAGAUUCAAUCACUUGCAUGUCCCAAUCAAUGUAUUUUUCUUUGAUAUAGAUAGAAUGUUUAUGUUUUUUGGAUUUUUUUAGUGAACCUUUCCUGUGUGAAUCUUGGAAUUAGAUUCCUCCCUUGACAUGUCUUUAUUAAUGAUCCAUUUUGUUUCCAUUAGCGUUGCCCAUCUUGAUUUCAUCGAAGAUUGUUAUUUGGGAAUGACCUUAUCCCUUUUUAUGUUUCAUACAAUCUCUCUGUGCUUCUAUAGCUUUACUUAUGGCUUGAUGGACAUUAACUUCAUUCAUCGUAAUAUUACGGGGGGUGGGGGUGCAAGGAUACGAUUUGAUACUUGACCUACGGUCCAGAUUGCAUUUUUUGUUAUCCUGUUACAAGCAGAAAGAUCAUAUCAAAUUUAAUGUUUGAUUAAUCGUGGAUUCUGAGAUAUUGCCACAUUGUAUUUGGUAACGAUGGGUAGAUUCCUUCUUCUUCUGAUUGGUGGAGAUGCUAUUCAUGUAAUGUAAUUUUCUUUUAUGAGGUUCAUUCUAGGAGUUUUAGAUGUUUGGUCUAGGGCUCUCAAUCACCUAUCUAAAAUUUGAUAUUCUUUCCUUUAUUGCUGGGGUUGAUUUAAAACUUGUCUUCCAUCUAUCGUCAAGUGCUGUUACUUACAUGUUUUGGGAUCAAGGGUCCACUUGAAAUUACUUUGAACCAUGGUGAGAUGACUAGUGCUCUGGGAACCAGGGCUUUAAUAUGGAAAAGGAUAAUUAUCAUAUGGAAGUGAGGAUAAGGGAUUUUUCCUGGUUCAGACCUCUCCUCCCUUUCUCUCCUCUUUUUUCUCUCUUCCAUAUUCAUUUAUUUAUUCACAGUAUUACUAUGGACUAAAAAUAUUCUAAGAGUUUUGAAUGCAAGUACAUCUUUGUUAGGAUGUAUUUGAAUGUAAUAGGAAUUUUUGCAAAAUCUUUAUAAGCUACUGGUCGAGCUAGUAUAUUUACUUUCUUUCCGGGUGAGUGUAAGCUUCUUCAUUAAGCCUUCGAGAAGAGACGGCUCACUUGAACCUGGGUAGCUGCUGACCCGAUCACUCUAUUAGAACUUCUUCUUAAAAUAUCUAUUUCUUUUAGUGACGAGCAACUCUCGUAUUCUGUAACAAAGCAAUGGAUUAAAAAUUCAUUACAUUGAUUACAUUCAAUAACAUUAUGCCAAGGAUGUGCUAAGUGGAUUAUGAUGGUGUUUGGAUAGGCAUUUCCAUUCUCACUCUGAUCAAGUUAACACUUUCUUUAACAAUGUAUAUAUCAAUUGAUGAUUUCAUGCAUUCCCUAUUUUGGCGUUGUGUAGUGUUUCUGCAUUAGAAAUUCU
rnacentral:misc_RNA from 1 species